AAAUGUGAAGUUACCUCAUGGCAAAAGUAAUAAAUAGAGCGUGUAUUCAAGCGGUGAGGUCUUUCCGGCCGUCUUGUAAUUAACAACCCACUCGAUCUAUUUUUAUAUUUUCUGUACCAGGGUGUGCCAUAACGUGUGGUACAUCUUUUUUUGAACACGCACAAUUUGUGGCUAAAUUCUUCUUGUACAGAAUGUUGGAAGUUGGAUAGUGCCUGCUUCCUGUUGGAUUUUCUAGCAUAAUGAAGCUGUGGAAGUGUUACUAGUUACAACUAAGAUACCUAGACGAGGCCCUAGUGUUGUGCAUGGAGAAUUCUAUGUUUUCACUUCUUUCAUAUGUAUGACGCUUUUGCUCAUACAUUUGCAUUUGCUUAAGAGCUGGUUAAUAAAGGAGGCAUAAUGCAUAUAGCUACCAAGGCAGAGCUAGGUGAUGGCAUGUGGGUAAUGCAGAAGAAAAAUGAUAUAAUAUGGUGGUAGUUUAAAGUGACUUAAUCAAGGAAUGUUGAACAUGAUUAAUUUUGUAACACAUUGACAUGCCCUCUCUUGUUAAUUUUAAGUGCUGGUUAGUUUGGAUUGUUAGUCACAAUUUGUUUGUGUCUUCUUUCUCUUUUUCCCUCUCUGUGUGUGCUCGCUGGGUGACGUAUCCAGGGACAUUUUUUCAAGGAGAAGGCCCGGGAAGCAGAUGAGAAAUCUGCAAAAAAGUUUCUUGAAACCAGAGAGGAGGAUGUAGUGUCUCUUGAUCUGCAUGAACAAGACCCCAAAGAAGCCAUAAGCCUUUUAAGGAUUCAUUUAUCUACUCUUUCUGGCAUCCCAUCUAUUGAAUAUCUUAAGAUCAUAGUUGGGGCCAAUGCUGAGGAUAGCAAAGAAGGGGCUCGGAAACCACGGGUAUGUUUUGCUAUAACUCAGAUUCUUAUAUUCCAUUUUUUGCC